CAGCAGUCGCCGCGGUAAUACAGAGGGUGCGAGCGUUAAUCGGAUUUACUGGGCGUAAAGCGUGCGUAGGCGGCUUCUUAAGUCGGAUGUGAAAUCCCUGAGCUUAACUUAGGAAUUGCAUUCGAUACUGGGAAGCUAGAGUAUGGGAGAGGAUGGUAGAAUUCCAGGUGUAGCGGUGAAAUGCGUAGAGAUCUGGAGGAAUACCGAUGGCGAAGGCAGCCAUCUGGCCUAAUACUGACGCUGAGGUACGAAAGCAUGGGGAGCAAACAGGAUUAGAUACCCCAGUAGUCCCUGUCUCUUAUAC
rnacentral:rRNA from 1 species